rnacentral:sRNA from 2 species
CCUAAGCCGCCGCCACUUCCUUGGCGUCGGCGUGGGGGACCCAAAAUCCUGGAAGAUUGUCCGGGGAUGGGGCGAAAGGCGGAGGAGAACCUUUGCCAAGGCCACUUUCAAGGCCGAGCCCGUCAGCUAACCUCGCAGGCGUUUGGAAGGGCAGUC